rnacentral:rRNA from 1 species
GGGGAAUAUUGGGCAAUGGGCGCAAGCCUGACCCAGCAACGCCGCGUGAAGGAUGAAGGUUUUCGGAUUGUAAACUUCUGUCCUCAGGGACGAAAUCAAUGACGGUACCUGAGGAGGAAGCCCCGGCUAACUACGUGCCAGCAGCCGCGGUAAUACGUAGGGGGCGAGCGUUGUCCGGAAUUACUGGGCGUAAAGGGAGCGCAGGCGGUUUAUUAAGUCAGAUGUGAAAUACCCGGGCUUAACCUGGGGGGUGCAUCUGAUACUGGUGAACUUGAGUGCGGGAGAGGAAAGUGGAAUUCCUAGUGUAGCGGUGAAAUGCGUAGAUAUUAGGAGGAACACCAGUGGCGAAGGCGACUUUCUGGACCGUAACUGACGCUGAGGCUCGAAAGCGUGGGGAGCAAAC